UACGUAGGUGGCAAGCGUUACUCGGACUCACUGGGCGUAAAGUGCGUGUAGGCGGUUCGGUAAGUCUCUUGUGAAAGCUCCCGGCUCAACUGGGAGAGGUCAAGGGAAACUGCCGGGCUAGAGUGCGACAGAGGAAGCUGGAACUCCCGGUGUAGCGGUGAAAUGCGCAGAUAUCAGGAGGAACACCGGUGGCGAAGGCGGAUCUCUGGGCCAGUACUGACGCUGAGGAGCGAAAGCGUGGGGAGCGAACAGG
rnacentral:rRNA from 1 species